rnacentral:rRNA from 1 species
GUGAUAUUUUAACGGCCGCAGUACCCUGACUGUGCUAAGGUAGCGUAAUCAGUUGGCUUUUAAAUGGAGUCGUGUAUGAAAGGGUUCACGGGGGCCCUCUGUCUCCUGGGGGUAAUUCUGAACUUCCUUAGAGGGUGCAAAUUCCCUCAAGAAGAAAAAAGACGAGAAGACCCUAGGAGUUUUUAACAAAGUGAUGUUUCUUACUUAUGUUUUUUGCUGGGGCGGCAAGGAGAUGCAUCAUCAAACCCUCCUGUAAGAACUAAAGUACCUGUCGUUUAUUUAAUGUGUGGUUAAACUACCCUAGGGAUAACAGCAUAAUUUAAAUUAAGUUUGUGACCUCGAUGUUGGACUAGGGGCUCUACGGCUAGCAGCCGACAAAGCUUGUUCUGUUCGAACACU